AAAGAAGAGACAUGAAUUCAUUGAACGAAAGAAAUAUCGUAAGUAAUUUGAAUAUUGAUAUGCCACCACCCUACUACUCGAAAGCCGACCUCUUCUUCGUCCGUGAUGGACGUUGCAGAUCAAAAGUGGAAAGAUGCAGUUAAGGAGAUCAUCGCCACCACAGCGCUGUCUAUAAAUGAAGAUCAUAGGAGCUAUAAGAGGCCAUAUGAUGACAGCGUGGCCAAGAAAGCGUUCCCGCGAUACUACGUCCCUUCGAAGUUUGAUACAUUUGACGAGACUGGUGAUCCAAAAGAACAUAUCGCUCAUUUCGAGCAUUUAGCCAAAUUUCAGACACAAUGCGUUGAUAUUGCUCAACAUAAAAAGCUGCUUAUCAAGCAGUUCCCUAGCUCGCUCCGAAAGAACGCUUUCCGCUGGUUCUCCAGACUGAAAGCGAGAUCUAUUAGGUCCUGAGACAAGUUGUUUGAG
rnacentral:misc_RNA from 1 species